rnacentral:rRNA from 1 species
ACGCUUGAAGUCAGUCGCGUCGACCGAGACUCAGCCUUGCCUCGGCUCGGUGUACUUCUCGGCCGACGGGUCAGCAUCAAUUUUACCCCUUGGAUAAUGGUGAGGGAAAUGUGACACCUUUACGGUGUGUUAUAGUCUCUCGUCGCAUGCAAGGGUUGGGAUUGAGGAACUCAGCACGCGCCCUCGGGCGUCGGGGUCUUUGCCCACGAUACGUGCUUAGGAUGUUGGCGUAAUGGCUUUAAACGACCCGUCUUGAAACACGGACCAAGGAGUC